GACGAACGCUGGCGGCGUGCUUAACACAUGUAAUUCGAACGGAAAGGCCCUGCUUUUGUGGGGUGCUCGAGUGGCGAACGGGUGAGUAACACGUGAGUAACCUGCCCUUGACUUUGGGAUAACUUCAGGAAACUGGGGCUAAUACCGGAUAGGAGCUCCUGCUGCAUGGUGGGGGUUGGAAAGUUUCGGCGGUUGGGGAUGGACUCGCGGCUUAUCAGCUUGUUGGUGGGGUAGUGGCUUACCAAGGCUUUGACGGGUAGCCGGCCUGAGAGGGUGACCGGCCACAUUGGGACUGAGAUACGGCCCAGACUCCUACGGGAGGCAGCAGUGGGGAAUAUUGCACAAUGGGCGGAAGCCUGAUGCAGCAACGCCGCGUGCGGGAUGACGGCCUUCGGGUUGUAAACCGCUUUCGCCUGUGACGAAGCGUGAGUGACGGUAAUGGGUAAAGAAGCACCGGCUAACUACGUG
rnacentral:rRNA from 1 species